rnacentral:pre_miRNA from 1 species
GUGUGGGUUCCGUGCUUCCUUACUUCCCAUAGUCAAAUGACAAACGUAUGGAAUGUAAAGAAGUAUGGAGCAAAUGC